rnacentral:rRNA from 1 species
GACGAAGGAUGCAAGCGUUAUCCGGAUUCAUUGGGUUUAAAGGGAGCGUAGGUGGCCUUAUAAGUCAGUGGUGAAAUCUCUGGGCUUAACCCAGAAAUUGCCAUUGAUACUGUAGGGCUUGAGUAUAGUUGCCGUUGGCGGAAUAUGACAUGUAGUGGUGAAAUACAUAGAGAUGUCAUAGAACACCGAUUGCGAAGGCAGCUAACGAAACUAUAACUGACACUGAGGCUCGAAAGUGCGGGGAUACAA